CAUGCAAGUCGAGCGGACAGAUGGGAGCUUGCUCCCUGAUGUUAGCGGCGGACGGGUGAGUAACACGUGGGUAACCUGCCUGUAAGACUGGGAUAACUCCGGGAAACCGGGGCUAAUACCGGAUGGUUGUUUGAACCGCAUGGUUCAGACAUAAAAGGUGGCUUCGGCUACCACUUACAGAUGGACCCGCGGCGCAUUAGCUAGUUGGUGAGGUAACGGCUCACCAAGGCGACGAUGCGUAGCCGACCUGAGAGGGUGAUCGGCCACACUGGGACUGAGACACGGCCCAGACUCCUACGGGAGGCAGCAGUAGGGAAUCUUCCGCAAUGGACGAAAGUCUGACGGAGCAACGCCGCGUGAGUGAUGAAGGUUUUCGGAUCGUAAAGCUCUGUUGUUAGGGAAGAACAAGUGCCGUUCAAAUAGGGCGGCACCUUGACGGUACCUAACCAGAAAGCCACGGCUAACUACGUGCCAGCAGCCGCGGUAAUACGUAGGUGGCAAGCGUUGUCCGGAAUUAUUGGGCGUAAAGGGCUCGCAGGCGGUUUCUUAAGUCUGAUGUGAAAGCCCCCGGCUCAACCGGGGAGGGUCAUUGGAAACUGGGGAACUUGAGUGCAGAAGAGGAGAGUGGAAUUCCACGUGUAGCGGUGAAAUGCGUAGAGAUGUGGAGGAACACCAGUGGCGAAGGCGACUCUCUGGGUCUGUACUGACGCUGAGGAGCGAAAGCGUGGGGAGCGAACAGGAUUAGAUACCCUGGUAGUCCACGCCGUUAACGAUGAGUGCUAAGUGUUAGGGGGGUUCCGCCCCUUAGUGCUGCAGCUUACGCAUUAAGCACUCCGCCUGGGGAGUACGGUCCGCAGACUGGAAACUCAAGGAAAUUGACGGGGGCCCGCACCAAGCGGGGGAGCAUGUGGGUUAAUUUCAAAGCAAACGCGAAAAAACCUUACCAGGGGCUUGACAUCCUUCUGACAAUCCUAAGAAAAAGGACGUCCCCUUCCCGGGGCAAAGUGACAGGGGGUGCAUGGUUGUCCCCACCUCGGGUCGGGAGAUGUUGGGUUAAGUCCCCGCACGGGCGCACCCUUGAUCUAGU
rnacentral:rRNA from 2 species